rnacentral:rRNA from 1 species
UACAGAGGGUGCGAGCGUUAAUCGGAAUUACUGGGCGUAAAGCGCGCGUAGGCGGCUUUGCAAGUCGGGUGUGAAAUCCCCAGGCUUAACCUGGGAACUGCAUUCGAGACUGCAUUGCUAGAGUAUGGGAGAGGGAAGUGGAAUUUCCGGUGUAGCGGUGAAAUGCGUAGAGAUGUGGAGGAACACCGAUGGCGAAGGCAGCCCCCUGGGGUAACACUGACGCUCAUGCACGAAAGCGUGGGGAGCAAACAGG